rnacentral:rRNA from 1 species
GUGCAGCCGCCGCGGUAGUACGGAGGGUGCGAGCGUUAAUCGGAAUUACUGGGCGUAAAGCGCAUGCAGGUGGUUUGUUAAGUCAGAUGAGAAAGCCCGGGGCUCAACCUCGGAAUUGCAUUUGAAACUCGCAGGGUAGAGUACUGUAGAGGGGGGUAGAAUGUCAGGUGUAGCGGUGAAAUGCGUGGAGAUCUGAAGGAAUACCGGUGGCGAAGGCGGCCACCUGGACAGAUACUGACACUCAGAUGCGAAAGCGUGGGGAGCAAACAGGAUUAGAAAC